AACGAACGCUGGCGGCGGGCCUAACACAUGCAAGUCGAGCGAGGUAGCAAUACCUAGCGGCGGACGGGUGAGUAACGCGUGGGAACGUACCCCUUUCUACGGAAUAGCCUCGGGAAACUGGGAGUAAUACCGUAUAAGCCCUACGGGGGAAAGAUUUAUCGGGAAGGGAUCGGCCCGCGUUGGAUUAGGUAGUAGGUGGGGUAAUGGCCUACCAAGCCGACGAUCCAUAGCUGGUUUGAGAGGAUGAUCAGCCACACUGGGACUGAGACACGGCCCAGACUCCUACGGGAGGCAGCAGUGGGGAAUCUUAGACAAUGGGCGCAAGCCUGAUCUAGCCAUGCCGCGUGAUCGAUGAAGGCCUUAGGGUUGUAAGGAUCUUUCGUGGGGGAAGAUAAUGACUGUACCCCAAGAAGAAGCCCCGGCUAACUCCGUGCCAGCAGCCGCCGUAA
rnacentral:rRNA from 1 species